rnacentral:misc_RNA from 1 species
AACGCACGAGACCUGCGGACCUGCGGAAGGAUCAUUAAUGAGAAGCUGCCCCUCGUGGGUAGACCUCCCACCCUCUGUGAACUUACCUUUGUUGCUUUGGCAGGCCCGUCCUCUGGACCGCCGGCUUCGGCUGGCCCGUGCCUGCCAGAGGAUUCCAAACCCUGUCUGUCAGUGUAGUCUGAGUCUAUAUGAAAUCGUUAAAACUUUUAACAAUGGAUCUCUAGAUCGGAAGAGCACACG